UACGACGGACGAACGCUGGCGGCGUGCCUAACACAUGCAAGUCGAGCGAGAAUCUCUUGACGGAUCCCUUCGGGGUGAAGAUAAGAGAGGAAAGCGGCGGACGGGUGAGUAACGCGUGAGUAACCUGCCUUCAGGAGGGGGACAACAUUCCGAAAGGGAUGCUAAUACCGCAUAAUAUUGUUUUAUCGCAUGAUUUAACAAUCAAAGAUUUAUCGCCUGAAGAUGGACUCGCGUCUGAUUAGAUAGUUGGUGAGGUAACGGCUCACCAAGUCGACGAUCAGUAGCCGGACUGAGAGGUUGAACGGCCACAUUGGGACUGAGACACGGCCCAGACUCCUACGGGAGGCAGCAGUGGGGAAUAUUGCACAAUGGGCGCAAGCCUGAUGCAGCAACGCCGCGUGAGGGAUGACGGUCUUCGGAUUGUAAACCUUUGUUGAUGGGGAAGAAACAUGACGGUACCCAUCGAGGAAGCCACGGCUAACUACGUG
rnacentral:rRNA from 1 species